rnacentral:rRNA from 1 species
UUGGAGGGCAAGUCUGGUGCCAGCAGCCGCGGUAAUUCCAGCUCCAAUAGCGUAUAUUAAAGUUGCUGCAGUUAAAAAGCUCGUAGUUGAAUUUCGGAACCAUCAUGUCGGUCGUGCCUCGGUACGUACUGGCAUUGUUGGUUUCUCCCUUCUGACGAACCAUGAUGUCAUUUAUUUGGUGUUGUGGGAAAUCAGGACUGUUACUUUGAAAAAAUUAGAGUGUUUAAAGCAGGCUCACGCUUGAAUACAUUAGCAUGGAAUAAUGAAAUAGGACGUUUGAUUCUAUUUUGUUGGUUUCUAGGAUCGACGUAAUGAUUAAUAGGGAUAGUUGGGGGCAUUAGUAUUCAAUUGUCAGAGGUGAAAUUCUUGGAUUUAUUGAAGACUAACUACUGCGAAAGCAUUUGCCAAGGAUGUUUUCAUUAAUCAAGAGCGAAAGUUAGGGGAUCGAAGACGAUCAGAUACCGUCGUAGUCUUAACCAUAAACUAUGCCGACUAGGGAUCGGAUGAUGUUAAUUUUUUAAUGACUCAUUCGGCGCCUUACGGGAAAC